rnacentral:rRNA from 1 species
UUCCUACGGGGGGCAGUAGUGGGGGAUAUUGCACAAUGGGGGGAACCCUGAUGCAGCGACGCCGCGUGGGCGAUGGAGUGCUUCGGCAUGUAAAGCCCUAUCAGCAGGGAAGAAAAUGACGGUACCUGAAGAAGAAGCCCCGGCUAACUACGUGCCAGCAGCCGCGGUAAUACGUAGGGGGCAAGCGUUAUCCGGAUUUACUGGGUGUAAAGGGGGCGCAGACGGCGAUGCAAGCCAGGAGUGAAAGCCC